AUGUAAAUUUUUGUGAGAAUUCCUAUUUAUUUUAAUAAUAGAUUGAUUUUAUUAUAACCACAGUGAUUAAUAUUAUUUUAUUAAAGAAAUUUAGAAAUAGUAAUUUCAUAAAGCAUUGGCUAAAUUUGUGCCAGCAGCCGCGGUUACACUAAUGAUGCACGUAAAUAUUUUUCGGUAAAAGUUAAAUAUUCAUUGAAUAGAAUAAAUGUAGGUUUAUUAAGUGAAAUUUUAAACUUAUAAAUUUUUUGAAUUUAGGAGGUUGAAGCUUGUAAAUUUUAAUUAAAGACUAGGAUUAGAUACCCUAUUAUUUAAAAUGUAAUGAUUUUACCAAGGUAGUAUUAGUUAUGUUCUUGAAACUUAAAAAAUUUGGCGGUAUCUUAGUCUAUCCAGAGGAACCUGUUCUAUAAUCGAUAAUCCACGAUGGACCUUACUUAAAUUUGUAAUCAGUUUGUAUACCGUCGUUAUUAGAAUAUUUUAUUAGAAUAAUAAUUUUCUAGAUUUUUUAUACGAAUUUAUAUCAGAUCAAGGUGUAGCUUAUGUUUAAGUAGAAAUGGGUUACAAUAAAUUUAUUUAAACGGAGUUAAAUUUGAAAUGUUUUGUGAAGGUGGAUUUGGUAGUAAAGUUGUAUAGAUUGACAAUUUGAUUUUAGCUCUAAGAUAUGCACACAUCGCCCGUCGCUCUUAUUAUUAAGGUAAGAUAAGUCGUAACAUAGUAGAUGUACUGGAAAGUGUAUCUAGAAUG
rnacentral:ncRNA from 1 species